rnacentral:rRNA from 1 species
AGAGUUUGAUCCUGGCUCAGAUUGAACGCUGGCGGCAGGCCUAACACAUGCAAGUCGAACGGUAGCACAGAGAGCUUGCUCUCGGGUGACGAGUGGCGGACGGGUGAGUAAUGUCUGGGAAACUGCCUGAUGGAGGGGGAUAACUACUGGAAACGGUAGCUAAUACCGCAUAACGUCGCAAGACCAAAGAGGGGGACCUUCGGGCCUCUUGCCAUCAGAUGUGCCCAGAUGGGAUUAGCUAGUAGGUGGGGUAAUGGCUCACCUAGGCGACGAUCCCUAGCUGGUCUGAGAGGAUGACCAGCCACACUGGAACUGAGACACGGUCCAGACUCCUACGGGAGGCAGCAGUGGGGAAUAUUGCACAAUGGGCGCAAGCCUGAUGCAGCCAUGCCGCGUGUAUGAAGAAGGCCUUCGGGUUGUAAAGUACUUUCAGCGGGGAGGAAGGUGUUGUGGUUAAUAACCACAGCAAUUGACGUUACCCGCAGAAGAAGCACCGGCUAACUCCGUGCCAGCAGCCGCGGUAAUACGGAGGGUGCAAGCGUUAAUCGGAAUUACUGGGCGUAAAGCGCACGCAGGCGGUCUGUCAAGUCGGAUGUGAAAUCCCCGGGCUCAACCUGGGAACUGCAUUCGAAACUGGCAGGCUGGAGUCUUGUAGAGGGGGGUAGAAUUCCAGGUGUAGCGGUGAAAUGCGUAGAGAUCUGGAGGAAUACCGGUGGCGAAGGCGGCCCCCUGGACAAAGACUGACGCUCAGGUGCGAAAGCGUGGGGAGCAAACAGGAUUAGAUACCCUGGUAGUCCACGCCGUAAACGAUGUCGAUUUGGAGGUUGUGCCCUUGAGGCGUGGCUUCCGGAGCUAACGCGUUAAAUCGACCGCCUGGGGAGUACGGCCGCAAGGUUAAAACUCAAAUGAAUUGACGGGGGCCCGCACAAGCGGUGGAGCAUGUGGUUUAAUUCGAUGCAACGCGAAGAACCUUACCUGGUCUUGACAUCCACAGAACUUUCCAGAGAUGGAUUGGUGCCUUCGGGAACUGUGAGACAGGUGCUGCAUGGCUGUCGUCAGCUCGUGUUGUGAAAUGUUGGGUUAAGUCCCGCAACGAGCGCAACCCAUAUCCUUUGUUGCCAGCGGUCCGGCCGGGAACUCAAAGGAGACUGCCAGGGGUAAACUGGAGGAAGGUGGGGAUGACGUCAAGUCAUCAUGGCCCUUACGACCAGGGCAACACACGUGCUACAAUGGCGCAUACAAAGAGAAGCGACCUCGCGAGAGCAAGCGGACCUCAUAAAGCGCGUCGUAGUCCGGAUUGGAGUCUGCAACUCGACUCCAUGAAGUCGGAAUCGCUAGUAAUCGUAGAUCAGAAUGCUACGGUGAAUACGUUCCCGGGCCUUGCACACACCGCCCGUC